GGGAUUGAGGAGCUUGCUUCUCAUGAGAGUGGCGCACGGGUGCGUAACACGUAUGUAACCUACCUUGUUCAGGGGGAUAGCCUCUCGAAAGAGAGAUUAACACCGCAUAAAAUCAAUUUAUGGCAUCAUAGAAUGAUCAAAUAUUUAUAGGAACAAGAUGGGCAUGCGGAACAUUAGCUAGUUGGUAAGGUAACGGCUUACCAAGGCUACGAUGUUUAGGGGAUCUGAGAGGAUGACCCCCCACACUGGUACUGAGACACGGACCAGACUCCUACGGGAGGCAGCAGUAAGGAAUAUUGGUCAAUGGACGCAAGUCUGAACCAGCCAUGCCGCGUGCAGGAAGACGGCCCUACGGGUUGUAAACUGCUUUUGUACCGGAAUAAACCUUUUCACGUGUGAGAAGCUGAAUGUACGGUAAGAAUAAGGAUCGGCUAACUCCGUGCCAGCAGCCGCGGUAAUACGGAGGAUCCAAGCGUUAUCCGGAUUUAUUGGGUUUAAAGGGUGCGUAGGUGGCCUAUUAAGUCAGGGGUGAAAGACGGUAGCUUAACUAUCGCAGUGCCUUUGAUACUGAUGGGCUUGAAUACACUUGAGGUAGGCGGAAUGUGACAAGUAGCGGUGAAAUGCAUAGAUAUGUCACAGAACACCAAUUGCGAAGGCAGCUUACUAAAGUGUUAUUGACACUGAGGCACGAAAGCGUGGGGAUCAAACAGGAUUAGAUACCCUGGUAGUCCACGCCCUAAACGAUGAAUACUCGAUGUUGGCGAUAUACGGUCAGCGUCUAAGCGAAAGCGUUAAGUAUUCCACCUGGGGAGUACGCCCGCAAGGGUGAAACUCAA
rnacentral:rRNA from 1 species